CACCUCUCAGUGUCACACUUGGAGAGUUUCCAGUCCUCUACCAGUCUCGACUACAGGAGGGAGAGUCAAGCAGAGGUCUACCCAUUCCAUUCCUGGCUUGGGCAGUGGCUAGCGAGCGGAAGGCCAUCUGCUACGAGU
rnacentral:snoRNA from 1 species